CAAUGUCAUCCGCUGAAUUGCUUAAAUGAUUUCCUGUCACUGAUUGCUUCAUUUGCUUAAAUGCAGCCUCCUACAUUUGCAGAGGUGCAGGCAGCUGUUCUUUCUCUCUCUGCUUUUAACUUCCCUGCUUCCAAUGAGAGGUUGCAGGAAUUGAUGCCUUCCAUAUGUCUAGACCUACCUGUCCAGUAGUCAACGGCAACAAAUUUUUCUUCAUCCAAGUUUAAGAAACACCUUGAAGUCUCAAGACAGUUAAUGGGAAGCUGACACAAAGCCUGAGAGAAACUGCAAUAGGUAGAUGGAAUAAUUGGGGACAUUUCUCCAGCGAAUCUCACCUGAACCUCACCACAGAGGGCCAGCAAUCUGAGAGCAAAGCCCUGUGUUUGAUAUUCCUGACUUGGUUUUUCUGAAAAAAACCACGAGUCUAGCUGAAGGCUUUCUUUCUCCUUAUUUGUAACAGCGCAGCUUUAAAUGUUUCAUAUUGCCAGGAUUUAGUGAGGGUGAUUUACCAGCGCUCCCUAGCAUAUCUUAUCUCAACACACGCAUCACAUCAACGUUCCAGCAUUGCGAUUAUUUUUCCUCGUAUGGCUCAGAAAACAGUAUAGAAGACAUUGAGAACAAUUCACUAAGGAUCUAAGACUGACAAGAAACAUAAAUGUUUAAAGUGACUGAUAUGUAAGUGAAGACAGAGAUUUACAUGGGAAUCUCAAUAUUGACUAGAGAAACUUCAUCUCCCUAGUAGCAAGAACGCUUUCCAGGAGUCAGUUAAUGUCCAAGGAGAACCCUAUUGCUCCAACGUAAAUAUCCAGAGGAAAUGGGAAAGCUGAACAUCUCAAGACAUUAUUUUUCCACAACAUGUAGAGUGGCAUCAAGGUCUGAUUUAAUUUGUCAGUCUUAUGUGAGUCCAAUCAGAUAAAGAAACUCUUGAAGAGGUAUGGGGGAAAAUGAGGUCAUCCUGCGGCUCCCUCUUCCCUUUGUGUACUCUUAUACUUACAUAUCACUGGCAAUGGAGGAGUUCCGAGACAUAGACUUUGGAGAGAGGUCAUAAUCGCUGUCGGAUCGAUACAGGAAG